rnacentral:rRNA from 1 species
CCUACGGGUGGCAGCAGUGGGGAAUAUUGCACAAUGGGGGAAACCCUGAUGCAGCGACGCCGCGUGAGUGAAGAAGUAUUUCGGUAUGUAAAGCUCUAUCAGCAGGGAAGAAAAUGACGGUACCUGACUAAGACGCCCCGGCUAACUACGUGCCAGCAGCCGCGGUACUACGUAGGGGGCAAGCGUUAUCCGGAUUUACUUGGUUUAAAGGGAACUGAGGCGGCGGAAUAAGUCAUAAUGGAAAACCCGGGGCUUAACCCUGGGAGUGCUUUGGAAACUGUUUGGCUUGAGUGCAGGAGAGGUAAGCGGAAUUCCUAGUGUAGCGGUGAAAUGCGUAGAUAUUAGGAGGAACACCAGUGGCGAAGGCGGCUUACUGGACUGUAACUGACGUUGAGGCUCGAAAGCGUGGGGAGCAAACAGGAUUAGAUACCCGGGGAGUC